CACGUAGUUAGCCGUGGCUUUCUGAUUAGGUACCGUCAAGACGCGCACAGUUACUUACGCAUUUGUUCUUCCCUAAUAGCAGAGUUUUACGAUCCGAAGACCUUCACCACUCACGCGGCGUUGCUCCGUCAGGCUUUCGCCCAUUGCGGAAGAUUCCCUACUGCUGCCUCCCGUAGGAGUCUGGACCGUGUCUCAGUUCCAGUGUGGCCGAUCACCCUCUCAGGUCGGCUACGUAUCGUUGCCUUGGUGAGCCGUUACCUCACCAACUAGCUAAUACGGCGCGGGUCCAUCUAUAAGUGACAGCAAAGCCGCCUUUCACUGUAGAACCAUGCGGUUCAACAUGUUAUCCGGCAUUAGCCCCCGGUUUCCGGAGUUAUUCCAGUCUUAUAGGUAGGUUACCCACGUGUUACUCACCCGUCGCCGCUAACGUCAAGGAGCAAGCUCCUUAUCUGUUCGCUCGACUUGCAUGUAUUAGGCACGCCGCCAGCGUUCAUCCUGAGCCAGGAUA
rnacentral:rRNA from 1 species